AAACACAAAAAACUUCAAUUACACUGCCCCAAUCAUAGAAUGAAUAGUUCGUCCGCCUGUAAAAAGUUGUUAAUGGUGGAUACAUGGGAAUGGAUAUCAGUGGUGAAGCUUGCUUCGAUGGAAGCGACUGCAAGGGGAUGCCAACUAUCUCUCCUUUGUCUUUGUUGCAUAAAAGCUUGUUAAGUGAGCUUUCAGAUCGAGUUCCAUUGGUGAUGCUUAAAAUGUCUUUGUUUCUUCUGCAAAAAACAUAAACAAACACAUUUUUUGCUUCGGCUUUUUAUAAUUCAAAUUCACAAUUCCCUUGUUUUCACCAUUUCAUAUCGCAAGGCCCGUAUUUUUUAAAAAAAAUGUUUUUCUGACAA